UGGGGAAUAUUGGACAAUGGGCGCAAGCCUGAUCCAGCCAUGCCGCGUGAGUGAUGAAGGCCCUAGGGUUGUAAAGCCCUUUCACCGGUGAAGAUAAUGACGGUAACCGGAGAAGAAGCCCCGGCUAACUUCGCGCCAGCAGCCGCGGCAAUACGAAGGGGGCUAGCGUUGUUCGGAUUUACUGGGCGUAAAGCGCACGUAGGCGGACUUUUAAGUCAGGGGUGAAAUCCCGGGGCUCAACCCCGGAACUGCCUUUGAUACUGGAAGUCUUGAGUAUGGUAGAGGUGAGUGGAAUUCCGAGUGUAGAGGUGAAAUUCGUAGAUAUUCGGGGGAACACCAGUGGCGAAGGCGGCUCACUGGAACAUUACUGGCUCUGAGGUGCGAAAGCGUGGGGAGCAAACAGG
rnacentral:rRNA from 1 species